GGCAAACAGUCCAAAAAUUAGUGGUGGAGCUGUGGGACCUUUGUAAUUGCAUUUUCUUCCAUUCAUGGUCAUAGACCUAGGUCAGAAGUGGGUGUUGUAGUAGAUUAGCAGCAGCAAUCCGACUUUAUGUUUGCUUCCGGUGAAACCAUGAGGAAAUGCUUGAGCUCUGUUGAAGAGAAGGGGUAUGGAGUUCAAAACCAAUUGAACUAGUCACAUCAUGGAUCUUAAUAUGUGGUCAUCUGCAGGUCAACCUCCUCAUGCCUUGGUUACUUUUGGUUUUGGUGGGUGGUUGAUUGUGAUGAUGGAUACAAAUGGUUCCACAUACCCAUUGAAAAUCAGGAGUGAUAGUGAGUUCCACCCUCAGUCAUUAAAAUGUCGAAGACUAGAUCCGGCACCCGCACCAAUAAAACCAAGAAACAAAGAGUUCCUCUAAGUGUCUCCUCUUUCAGAUUUCUCCUAAAUUUACUGUUUUGUGAUUCUAAUAUGAUUUAAUGCAGAAUAAGAAUCAUAAUUUUACAAACAAUGAUGUUGAAGAUAAAUCUAUGAAGUUACACUGCUAUAUGGACACAAGAUCCUCCCUUAGCCAGGGUGUUCUUUCUCAGAGGAGAUCUAGCUUUCAGGGUAACCAAUUCCCUCUAGUAGUUGAAGCUGCUAGAAAAGCUCCUAUUCGCAGUAGAAACUUCAUGCGGAAUCAACCAAUGACUUCAUAUAGACCAAGGAAAGUUGUUUGUUUUUCUUUAAUAACAAGUUGUAUUUCAUCUCUUAUUGCUGCAAUAAUCUGAUUAUAAAUGUUGUUAAUUUGGUUUGAUGUGCAGG